rnacentral:rRNA from 1 species
UACGGAGGAUCCAAGCGUUAUCCGGAUUUAUUGGGUUUAAAGGGUGCGUAGGCGGUUCUUUAAGUCAGUGGUGAAAGUUUGCAGCUCAACUGUAAAAUUGCCAUUGAAACUGAAGAACUUGAGUGUAAAUGAGGUAGGCGGAAUGUGUUGUGUAGCGGUGAAAUGCUUAGAUAUAACACAGAACACCAAUUGCGAAGGCAGCUUACUGGGAUACAACUGACGCUGAGGCACGAAAGCGUGGGGAUCAAACAGG